GCCCCGAUAGUGUAGUCCGGACUAUCAUACUGCCCUUUCGAGGCAGCGACCCGGGUUCAAAUCCCGGUCGGGGCG
rnacentral:tRNA from 1 species